rnacentral:lncRNA from 1 species
ACGCAUGUGCAGCUUCUAGGACGGAGAUGCCACCAGCCUUGGGAACGAAGGGUGGUCCACCCGGGGCUCCUUAAAAAUUACGUUAAGGCCCCAGCUGUAAUGGGCAGAAGUCAGAGGUCUGAGGGCAGACCGCAGUUCCACCCGCUUCCCAUCAAGCAGGGGGACGUGGCGCUGCCUAGAAACAGGGAACAGCAGCUCAGAAUUAAAUCAACCCAGCAUCCUGCAGGACUUCAGCUGGGCUCCACACCAUUUGCUUGCCUUUUGCACCGCCCUCGCUCGCAGGGACUGGGGGCCGUCUUGCUCGACGACGUGGUUGGGCUGAGAUGCGUCCUCUCAAAAGAACAGAGCACCUCUCACUCACAUCACAAACGCAUCGAUGAAAGGUGAACAAGCGCGUGGGUUUUGGUUUUCUUCCCCCUCAGCAGCGUUGGGGUUGGGGGAGGAGGAACUCAAGCACUGUUCACAUCAGAAUAAGCCUGCGAGUUUUCAGGAGCUUUCUAUCUGCACUGAGCAUCCCCAUUAGAGCCGGGGUGUAUUGUCUGAAAUGCCUCUGGUUUCAAGGAAGGGUUUUACCUAAAGCAAGACUACUACUUAAACAUGGCCUAUUGUAUAUUCAUGGCUCCAUUAGUCCUUCUCCCAUUUAGCACAUCAAAGAGAAGCCUUCAUCACCAGCAUGUGGGUUACACUAACAAGAGUGACAUUUGUAAUCUUAGAGGCCUGCAACUCGGGAAGUGCUUUUAGAAGCUCGUUAUUAAAGACGCAGCAAGUGCUUGGGGAACGAGCCACGUAACAGUUCAUUUAACAUCUUUAGUGACCUUACCCUCCACAUCACUAAACGCCACACUGUACCACUGACCAAAGGUUAUUAACUGCCUCCUUUGAAUUUCCACACCGCACGGGACACGAGUGCUCACGCCAAAGAGAAUUAGAGAAGAUGCUUGCAUUCUUAUUAACACACGUCUCCUUUCCGUCCUGCGGAGUCCACACUGCCUCGGAGUAUCCAGAGGGGGAAACAAAAAAAACUUGAGACCCAGAACUAAUUCUGAGCCAUUCCCCAAGGAUCCAGCUGAAACAGGAGGUUUAUAGGGUGUUUUCAGUUUGAGUAACGAUUUUGCCUCUUGGCCUGGAAU